rnacentral:snRNA from 1 species
GUACUUCUCAGAAGUGCAUAUUCUAAAAUUGGAACGAUACAGAGAGGAUCAGCAUGGCCCCUGCGCAAGGAUGACACGCAAAUCGUAAAGCGUUCCAAAUUAAA